rnacentral:rRNA from 1 species
UCGAGAAUAUUUAGCAAUGGACGAAAGUCUGACUAUGCGACGCCGCGUGAGGGAUGAAGGAUUUCGGUUCGUAAACCUCUUUCGAUGAGGACGAAACUCCUCCUGGUAACAGGAGUGAUGACGGUAUUCAGAGAAGAAGCCACGGCUAACUCCGUGCCAGCAGCCGCGGUAAUACGGGGGUGGCGAGCGUUGUUCGGAAUUAUUGGGCGUAAAGAGCGUGUAGGCGGCUGAAUAAGUCAGAUGUGAAAGCCCUGGGCUCAACCCAGGAAGUGCAUUUGAUACUGUUCGGCUAGAGUAGGGGAGAGGGAAGUGGAAUUCCUGGUGUAGAGGUGAAAUUCGUAGAUAUCAGGAGGAACACCGGUGGCGAAGGCGACUUCCUGGCCCUAUACUGACGCUGAGACGCGAGAGCGUGGGGAGCAAACAGG